rnacentral:rRNA from 1 species
GACGAACGCUGGCGGCGUGCUUAACACAUGCAAGUCGAACGGAAAGGCCCUGCUUUUGUGGGGUGCUCGAGUGGCGAACGGGUGAGUAACACGUGAGUAACCUGCCCUUGACUUUGGGAUAACUUCAGGAAACUGGGGCUAAUACCGGAUAGGAGCUCCUGCUGCAUGGUGGGGGUUGGAAAGUUUCGGCGGUUGGGGAUGGACUCGCGGCUUAUCAGCUUGUUGGUGGGGUAGUGGCUUACCAAGGCUUUGACGGGUAGCCGGCCUGAGAGGGUGACCGGCCACAUUGGGACUGAGAUACGGCCCAGACUCCUACGGGAGGCAGCAGUGGGGAGUAUUGCACAAUGGGCGGAAGCCUGAGGCGGCGACGCCGCGUGCGGGAUGACGGCCUUCGGGUUGUAAACCGCUUUCGCCUGUGACGAAGCGUGAGUGACGGUAAUGGGUAAAGAAGCACCGGCUAACUACGUG